AGUAUAAAAUGUAUUAGAGGCACUGCCUGCUUCGGUGACCUAAGUUUAACGGCCGCGGUAUCCUGACGGUGCAAAGGUAGCAUAAUCACUUGUUCCCUAAAUAGGGACUAGUAUGAAUGGCCACACGAGGGUAUUACUGUCUCUUAUUUCAAAUCAGUGAAAUUGACAUUCCCGUGAAGAGGCGGGAAUAAGAACAUAAGACGAGAAGACUCUAUGGAGCUUUAAUCCACUAACUCAUAUAACUAUCCUAACUCCUCACGGGGAAUAAACUCACUAUUAGUGAGUUAGCAAUUUAGGUUUGGGUGACCUCGGAAUAAUACCUAACCUCCGAGAAUCAUUUUAAAGACCUACAAGUCAUAAUCAUAUACUAACACACAAUGAUCCGCCAAUGACGAUCAACGAAACAUGUUACCCUAGGGAUAACAGCGCAAUCCUAUUCAAGAGUCCAUAUCGACAAUUAGGGUAUACGACCUCGAUGUUGGAUCAGGAC
rnacentral:rRNA from 1 species